CACAACAAAGGGUAAAAUGUGCAUAAACAUUUAACUCAACUCUUCUCUCAUACAGCACCCUGAAUGAUAGAAAGAAACAACCAAAGUUCUCGUGUUUGAACAAGUUUUGUUUUGAGCUAUAUCAUGGCUGCUUGUGAAGUAUUAUUUUGCGUGUUUUAUUUAAUUCAGUGAUCUGCAGCCUAAUUAAAGUAUACAUUAUUGAAGCACGCAUUUUUAAAUAAGUAAAACGUAAAAUAAAAGUUUUCUAAGGCCAAAAUAUGGAAUUGAAGAGGGUGAUACAGUAAUACUUCAUUGCACUAUCAAUUCGAAGCACGCAAUAGAAGCCAACAAUUGUCAACAUCAAUGGCGAAACGUAUAAUAAUAUUAUUGUAACGAAAAUGGCACCAGAACAAACUAGAAUAGACAAUCGAAAUCGAUAAUUUGCCAGAUCUAUCUAGACAUCGAUAUUCGUAGUUGCCAGAAUGUUCGAGUGACGAUAAGAUGCUAGCAAUCGACUAUAUAAGGGCUGCCGGCCUUGCAGCAAGACACAGUUCUGAUAAGAGAGUUGUCGAGUGUGGACAAUUCUAAGGAGAGAGUUGUCGAGCAAAGUGUAAACAAGUUAUAACCCUUAACCUGGCCAUGUGACAGAAAUGUUACAAACCCUUUUUUCGACUGUAAUUUUACCAUUCUUAUUUGAUAUAGUCAUAUUGGUUUUUGUAACACAACUGGUACAAACUGUGAAUAGUAUAAAAGUAAUAAGAUAGAGCGAGACAUCCCUAUUGUAACGUAUUUUUGUGCCAAAAGUGUAGUGCAUUAAGUUUGGUGAUUUCACAACAAGUGCUGAAAUUGGUGACGAAAAGCGGUUUUUGUGAAUGUGAAAAACGUGUUUAUUUGUUUAAAUACAUUGGAUAUUUCAAACCACAUAUGGCGCGUUAAAGGUACGCAAACUUAUUGGUGUCACUUAUUGUAGCAGCGUAGAACUUUCGAAGCGAUGGAAUAUGUGCUGCAAGCAAAUGGACGCAAACGCUGCUACAUGGAACACAAAUCAUUCACACACCAGAUAUUACGUUUAAUGUGACUUUUUUGCGUGCAAUUAAACCUUUUGGUCAACACAAGCACGAGAAUUGGAACGACAUGGUUUAGGUGCUCUUGAAACCGUUUAUUAUCACGACGCGUGUCAACUGGGUUUUGCCAAUGAGCUAGAGGGCAAAGCAGUUUCAGUAUCUUUAAGCUUACCGGCACUUGGCCGUGCCAUUAGCAGCUAAAACACAGAAAUUAAAGGGAGGACUUUUUUGAUUCAUUUUCACCUUGUAUUGAGCAAUCAUAACAAUGUUGUAUCGCUUUACAAGGACAUAAAUUCACCGAAAUUAAUUCAAUAGAAAUACUACAGCAAGAGCAUGGAUGUCAAGACUUGAACGGUGCCGUGUUAGAUUUAGAAUUCCUGAAAUAUAAGAAACCCUCCUCCCAGAUGAAUCUAGUACUAGUGAAAUUAAUAAAAGAAUAAAAGAACAGAUCUUAUAACAACUCCGAAAGAAACCAAAAGAGUCCUCACAUAAUGUGCGCAGCUUACACUUCCAGACCGCACGGGGUAUUUGACAUUUUCCACUCUUCCUCCAGCCUUUGUCCGAUAGCAAAAAUUGUUCAAAUAUUCAUUUUCACCCACUUUAUACAUAUGUAUAUAGUGUAGUAUGAUAAUAUAUAUAUAAAGUAAAUAUAAUAAUAAACAACUAAAUGGCAUGAUAUUUUCAAUAAAUA